GAUGAACGCUGGCGGCGUGCUUAACACAUGCAAGUCGAACGAUGAAGCUCAGCUUGCUGGGUGGAUUAGUGGCGAACGGGUGAGUAACACGUGAGUAACCUGCCCUUAACUCUGGGAUAAGCCUGGGAAACUAGGUCUAAUACCGGAUAGGAGCGUCCACCGCAUGGUGGGUGUUGGAAAGAUUUAUCGGUUUUGGAUGGACUCGCGGCCUAUCAGCUUGUUGGUGAGGUAAUGGCUCACCAAGGCGACGACGGGUAGCCGGCCUGAGAGGGUGACCGGCCACACUGGGACUGAGACACGGCCCAGACUCCUACGGGAGGCAGCAGUGGGGAAUAUUGCACAAUGGGCGAAAGCCUGAUGCAGCGACGCCGCGUGAGGGAUGACGGCCUUCGGGUUGUAAACCUCGUUCAGUAGGGAAGAAGCGAAAGUGACGGUACCUGCAGAAGAAGCACCGGCUAACUACGUG
rnacentral:rRNA from 1 species